GACGAACGCUGGCGGCGUGCUUAACACAUGCAAGUCGAGCGGUAAGGCCCUUUCGGGGGUACACGAGCGGCGAACGGGUGAGUAACACGUGGGUGACCUGCCCUCAGCUCUGGGAUAAGCCCUGGGAAACCGGGUCUAAUACUGGAUAUGACUCCAUGACGCAUGUUGGUGGGGUGGAAAGCCUUGUGCGGCUGAGGAUGGGCCCGCGGCCUAUCAGCUUGGUUGGUGGGGUGAUGGCCUACCAGGGCGACGACGGGUAGCCGGCCUGAGAGGGCGACCGGCCA
rnacentral:rRNA from 1 species